rnacentral:lncRNA from 1 species
AUAAUUUUACAAUAAAAAAACAGACACAUACAAAAACUUCAGAAUUCAUGUAAACUAUAAUUUCAUUAAAAAAUACAACUGAUAUCCAUCAUUUCACCAAGGUUCAAAUACCCAUCGGUCCACAUUUCAUUCCGAUUAAGCGUUGAGCUAAACCUUUUUCAGUGUUCCAACAUAAAAGCAAUCAAUACAAUUGGCAUUGAUGCAUCAUUGUUUAAGUUUUUUCACUACAAAAAUUCUGAAUUAUCAAGUUGUCAUGUCCGAGGCAUAGACACUUUCGAAUAGGAUGGGCUGCAAGGUGAAAAUCACUAGUCCUACUCAGGUCUUUUCUCCACUCCGCAUCUACAUCAGGUACCACAACUCGAUGUUCGUUGAACUACAAAAAAAGGAAGUUCGCACCAUGUAUCCAACUGAGAAUUGUAACAAUUACAUGAGCACAUGAUGACUAUAGCUUAGAUUUUUAAUAACAAUCAGCAGAACUUGUUGAGAAAAAAGAUAAGAGCCAGAAUACUAACUUCUAUUUUUGGUUAUUGUGUCAUACAUUUCAGUAAUAAUUACUAAAUAAGUAAGGACAAAAGAAAGGAAGAUGAUAAGCAAUAGAUCAUUAUUGUCAAGCUUCUCGCCAAUAUAUAAUUCCAAAAUUAGUAAAAAUGGGGACAAAAAAAUGUAUAAUGGGGAAAGUAAGGACAAAACAAACAUGGAUUUUUUAGUGCAUAGAAUUAAAGGCAUCUAUCUAUAAAAGGAUGUAAGGCAGUCUAACAAACAAUUCACAAACAAUGUAUUCUCCGGCAGUGUCGUAUGUGUAAAUGAAUGCAUAGAAGAACUUGUGCAACAAAUAUAAAAAAUUGUUAUUGUUCUUCAGAAGACCCUAACCAACAGUAAGCAUCACUUCUAAAAAUAGUGUACCAAGGAAGAUUCAAACCUGGAGCUAGCACAAGCACGAUGAAAGUACUAAAUUACUAAUAGAUAUAUGGCACAUGCCCGCACUCCACUACUGUUACAAGUUACUUCCCUGAUGAGUGAAUCUGUAACUAGCUACUUGAUACUUGGUAGUACUUUCUCUUUCUUAAGCAAGACCCUACAAUUAUUCGCAAGAAAGGAAAAUUAACAUCGGUGUAAAACUGUUGGCCUAGCAGGUAGCUAGUCUACUCUAGUGUGUCAUCCCGUGAAACUGAUGUCGAAACUGAAAAGGUUUGUCAUUUGUCAACCAGAUUGCUAGAAGGUCACUUGAAUGAUAGCAUAUUCUAACUGAAGCAACAAAGAAAAGAAAUUAAAUAAAUAUCAAGGUGUUUGAGUGUCCCAGCAAAUUCAGCAACACAUACAAAAUUACUAGUAGGAGUCCAUAAGGAGUUGUAACAAGUUAUUUUCCUGAUGAGUAAGUUUUUUGUUACUAAUUGGCACUUGGCAAGCUAGGAGUACUAUCCAUGCGUUGUGUUUCUUGCUUAAUCAAGGUCUGCGAGUCAAUGCCGUCUAACUAGACAGCCAGAAAAAUAACAUCACCAACCAAAUCUCUUGCUGACUAGUCGAUCAAUUUAUACCAACAAAUAAAUUUAAGCUUCCUCACAUCACAUCUUAUGAUUGUGUGACAAAUUAAGGAGAAGGCAUCCAGGGAUGGCUGUCAUAUACCUUUCAUCAGGUGAAAUAUUUUCAAUGACCAACGAACCAAAAGGCACUUAGCCACUGAACACAACGCGGCCGCCACCACCUAGCAUUUUCGGAUAAAGCAAAUCAUUUGCUAAU